rnacentral:rRNA from 1 species
CGGUGGGUGGUGGUGCAUGGCCGUUCUUAGUUGGUGGAGUGAUUUGUCUGGUUAAUUCCGAUAACGAACGAGACUCUGGCCUACUAAAUAGGCGGCGGAUGUUUGGGUCCGCUAUGUCUUCUUAGAGGGACAAGGCAGCUCUAAGCUGCAUGAAAAGGGGCAAUAACAGGUCUGUGAUGCCCUUAGAUGUUCUGGGCCGCACACGCGCUACACUGAAAGAGGCAACGUGUUUGCCUGAUUCGAAAGAAUUGGGUAACCCCCUAAUAUCUUUCCUGCUGGGGAUUGAGGUUUGCAAUUAUCCUUCAUGAACGAGGAAUUCCCAGUAAGUGCGAGUCAUUAUCUCGCGCUGACUACGUCCCUGCCCUUUGUACACACCGCCCGUCGCUACUACCGAUUGAAUGUUUUAGUGAGGACUUCGGACUGAGUCCAAUGCGGCUUUCGGGCUGCGUCGGUAUUUCGGAAAGAUGUCCAAACUGUAUCAUUUAGAGGAAGUAAAAGUCGUAACAAGGGUUGCCUUAGUGAACCCUCUGAGGAUCAUUA